UUCCUACGGGAGGCAGCAGUAGGGAAUCUUCGGCAAUGGGGGCAACCCUGACCGAGCAACGCCGCGUGAGUGAAGAAGGUUUUCGGAUCGUAAAACUCUGUUGUUAGAGAAGAACGUUAAGUAGAGUGGAAAAUUACUUAAGUGACGGUA
rnacentral:rRNA from 1 species